GUUACGUUUUUGUGCCUCUUGAGCUUCUUUGACCGAGUCCUCUUCCUCAUGUGAACUCGCGGCGGCGCCGGAGUAAAACUCAUCUCCGAUUCAAGGACCGGCGCUCUUCUCUCUCGCUCAACCCUCUCACGUUCAACCUUUCUCCGAUUCCAUCAAAGUAUCGCCUACCGGAGCCGAUCACUCCGGCGGUGGAUGCGACGGCAAUUCGAAAAGGCCAAAGAACUGAGAAGCUUGAAUCGAUUGUAGAAGAUGAUGAUGAUUGAUGAACUUGCAGAAGAUUGAUUCGAUGAAGGCGAUUUGGUGCCGAUGAUGAUUGAACGGAGUCUUUAAUGAUUGCUGAGUUGAAUUAGUGAAUAUGCGUUGAAGAAGGAGUUACGGCGAUUGACGAUAGUGAAACGUGGAGGAGCAGAUCGAGAAGAUGAUGAAGUUUUGGAGAGGUGAAUCAAUGAAGAUGAUGAAGAGAGGUUGAAGAUUGGUGAAGUUGAUG